UACGUAGGCAGCAAGCGUUGUUCGGAGUUACUGGGCGUAAAGGGUGCGUAGGCGGUCAUGUAAGUCAGCGGUGAAAUCCGGCAGCUCAACUGUCGAUGUGCCAUUGAUACUGCAUGACUUGAGUACUGAUGAGGUAGGCGGAAUUGACGGUGUAGCGGUGAAAUGCUUAGAUAUCGUCAAGAACACCGAUAGCGAAGGCAGCUUACUAAGCAGUAACUGACGCUGAGGCACGAAAGUGUGGGGAUCAAACAGG
rnacentral:rRNA from 1 species